rnacentral:rRNA from 1 species
CCUACGGGUGGCAGCAGUAGGGAAUCUUUCACAAUGGGCGAAAGCCUGAUGGAGCAACGCCGCGUGCAGGAUGAAGGCCCUCGGGUUGUAAACUGCUUUUAUAAGCGAGAAAAAUGACGGUAACUUAUGAAUAAGGAUCGGCUAACUACGUGCCAGCAGCCGCGGUCAUACGUAGGAGCCGAGCAUUAUCCGGAGUGACUGGGUGUAAAGAGUUGCGUAGGAGGCAGAAUAAGUAGCGAGUGAAAUCCGGUGGCUCAACCAUUCAGACUAUUAGUUAAACUGUUAAGCUCGAGACCGUUAGGGGUAAGUGGAAUUUCUGGUGUAGGAGUGAAAUCCGUAGAUAUUAGAAGGAACACCAAUAGCGUAGGCAGGUUGCUGGGACGGUACUGACACUGAGGCACGAAAGCGUAGGGAGCAAACAGGAUUAGAUACCCGAGUAGUC